rnacentral:sRNA from 2 species
UUGACGCGUAUCACAACAAAAAAUGGCGCACUUUGGUGCGCCCUUUUCUCAGCUU